UGGCGGGUAGCUCAGUUUGGUAGAGCAGUGGACUGGUUUUACCAGUAGUCUUUAAUUCACCAACUUGCCUGAAAAGGCCGAAGUAAUUGAAGGUUAUCGUGGUUCCAUGUGUCGCAGGUUCAAAUCCUGCCCUGCCAC
rnacentral:tRNA from 2 species